rnacentral:rRNA from 1 species
AACUGGGAUUAGAUACCCCACUAUGCCUAGCCGUAAACAUUGAUAGUGCAUUUCACCUGCUAUCCGCCUGGGUACUACGAGCAUCAGCUUAAAACCCAAAGGACUUGGCGGUGCUUUAGAUCCACCUAGAGGAGCCUGUUCUAGAACCGAUAAUCCCCGUUAAACCUCACCUUUCCUUGCUCUCCCAGUCUAUAUACCGCCGUCGUCAGCUUACCCUGCGAAGGACCAACAGUAAGCGAAAUUGGCACAGCCCAGAACGCCAGGUCGAGGUGUAGCCUAUGGAAAGGGAAGAAAUAGGCUACAUUCAAUAUUACAAUGAAUACGAAUGGGGGGUUGAAACACCCCCCUGAAGGAGGAUUUAGCAGUAAGCAGGAAAUAGAGAGUCCCGCUGAAAUUGGCCCUGAAGCGCGUACACACCGCCCGUCACUCUCCC